rnacentral:rRNA from 1 species
UUGGAGGGCAAGUCUGGUGCCAGCAGCCGCGGUAAUUCCAGCUCCAAUAGCGUAUAUUAAAGUUGCUGCAGUUAAAAAGCUCGUAGUUGAAUUUCGGGACCAUCAUGUCGGUCGUGCCUCGGUACGUACUGGUAUUGUUGGUUUCUCCCUUUUGACGAACCAUGAUGUCAUUUAUUUGGUGUUGUGGGGAAUCAGGACUGUUACUUUGAAAAAAUUAGAGUGUUUAAAGCAGGCUCACGCUUGAAUACAUUAGCAUGGAAUAAUGAAAUAGGACGUCUGAUUCUAUUUUGUUGGUUUCUAGGAUCGACGUAAUGAUUAAUAGGGAUAGUUGGGGGCAUUAGUAUUCAAUUGUCAGAGGUGAAAUUCUUGGAUUUAUUGAAGACUAACUACUGCGAAAGCAUUUGCCAAGGAUGUUUUCAUUAAUCAAGAACGAAAGUUAGGGGAUCGAAGACGAUCAGAUACCGUCGUAGUCUUAACCAUAAACUAUGCCGACUAGGGAUCGGAUGAUGUUAAUUUUUUAAUGACUCAUUCGGCGCCUUACGGGAAAC